rnacentral:rRNA from 1 species
CACGUAGGGUGCGAGCGUUGUCCGGAAUUAUUGGGCGUAAAGAGCUCGUAGGCGGUUUGUCGCGUUGUCCGUGAAAACUCACAGCUCAACUGUGGGCGUGCGGGCGAUACGGGCAGACUAGAGUACUGCAGGGGAGACUGGAAUUCCUGGUGUAGCGGUGAAAUGCGCAGAUAUCAGGAGGAACACCGGUGGCGAAGGCGGAUCUCUGGGCCUUACCUGACGCUCAGGCACGAAAGCUAGGGGAGCGAACAGG